GGUCUUAUAUUCAUUAAUGAUUACAAAAUGCAAUUUUGUAGGAGUAGUUGAGGAGAGACUACUAAGACCU
rnacentral:tRNA from 1 species